UGUCUAACCUACAAAGCACAAAUUUUGAAAUAACACAGCUUAACUUUACAGUUUCAAGAUAUGUAAUUUCAACAUUUGUAUUUUCAAGAUAUGUAAUUUCAACAUUUGUAGUUUCAACAUUUGCAGUUUCAACAGUUGUAUUAACGACACUUGCAUUAUCGAGCCUUGCAUUAACAAGCCAUGCGUUAGCGAACUAUGACCAUAUUUGGGUUGAUGACGUUGAUCAUUAAUCCGGAAAACGCCGAGUUUGGUCCUGCAAUGAUGUCUCCCGUCUCAAUAAAAAUAUCUCUUCUUGGGUGGAGUUUUUCAAGGGGAACUACUCUCAUUAUUUCCGUUCUUCAACAUGGCCAAUGAACUUAUUCAUGAAGUGAAGUCCCGAAUAGAGGGAAUUUGCAAUUUGUUAGAUACACAAAAUUUUCAAUCGCUUUCAGACAUCAUACAUGAUAUACAUACAGUAGCAGGUAUUGUCUCAGAUUUAAUGUGUUCCAUGCCUUCCACGGAAGAAGACAGUAUAACGAUGAAUGGAUUACAAACUUGUUUAUUUCAUAUUCAAAAUGCUGCAAAUUUAAUCGAACGAAAGCAGGCCAAUGAAGUUAUAACUGGAUCUCUCGGACAUUCAUUGUCACCAGGACAUACUGGACGACCAUCAAAGUUAGUUCCAUUUGAACAGCUAGAAUUUUUGGUUUCUAAUGGAUUCAAAUUGAAUGACAUGGCCAAUUUAUUUAAUAUUAGUCCCAGAACCAUGAGUCGAAGAUUGCUUGAAUAUGGUAUUUCAUUAAAUGAAAAAUAUAGUCAUAUUUCCAAUGAUGAGCUAGAUGAAAUAGUAAUUGACCUUCUUAGUAACUUUCCAAAUAUUGGGUAUCGAAGUAUAAAAGGACACCUGCACAGUAAAGGACAUAUAAUUCAAGAAUACAGGGUUCGUGAAUCGAUGAGAAGGGUUGAUAUAGAGAUUACAUGUCAUUUCGGUCCCGCGUCAUUUCGGACUUACGUCAUUUCGGACUCCAAAAAAUAUGUCCCCGACAUUUCGGACUCGGGUAGGUGACAUUUCGGACUCGGGUAGGUGACGUUUCGGACUCGGGUAGGUGACGUUUCGGACUCGGGUAGGUAAGAUAGAAUUAUACAACACACUGACGCCAAUUUACUUUAUAAACUAUUUUAUUUAUCAACAUAGCAUAAAAUGAUAACAUCGAUUUAUAACAACGGGCAUAUUAUUUUAUUUUUAAACAUACCAUAUAGCGAUAACAACGGUCAUAUAAAACAUUCAUUUAUUGUAUAAAUACAUACACAUUCAUACAUUAACGCAACAUUUAUAACAACACGUGUAUUUAUUUGAUGAAAAAAUAGCUUUAGUCGGCUAUUCAUUUUUUUUUUUUUUUUUUUUCAUUUUUUUAAUUAUGUAAUUGUUUUUCACUGAGCGGGUGGACCAUACAAAUGACUUAUUUUUUUUAAUAGUCUACUAGUGCUCAUCUGUUUUUCAUUGUAUGAAUCCCAUAUAUUAAAAAGUUGGCCUUCUACAUGUCGAUACCGACGUCUUUGGUGUCGUCUCAAUGAACCUUCCGACAUUUUUUUAAUUAUGUAAUUGUUUUUCACUGAGCGGGUGGACCAUACAAAUGACUUAUUUUUUUUAAUAGUCUACUAGUGCUCAUCUGUUUUUCAUUGUAUGAAUCCCAUAUAUUAAAAAGUUGGCCUUCUACAUGUCGAUACCGACGUCUUUGGUGUCGUCUCAAUGAACCUUCCGACAUCAUUGUGAGGUCCAGUGGUAUCUUUGUAGCUUCUGAAAAAAGUGCGCAAAUCAAUAGAUAAAAUGGCACAGGACCUCUGGCGUUGACACGGGAAUUUAGUCUGUUGUGCCAGCCCUCCACGUCGUUAUUGGUUCUCACUGGCAACAUAAACACGCACCAAUCUUCUAUUGGAAACAGACGAGAUGAAAUCCAUUGAUCGAAACGACGUUUGUGCUGAGUCCGAAAUGACGCGGGACCGAAAUGACGUGCUACCGAUAUAGAAGGUGUUCUCUAUCGUCGACUUACUUUAAAUCCAGUAAGACGAAGAAGAUAUUCUGUUCGUGCGCCAAACUCAUUGUGGCAUAUAGACGGCUAUCAUAAAUUGAUAAGCUGGCACUUAGUUGUUCAUGGAGGUAUAGACGGUUAUUCUCGCCUCCCUACAUAUUUAAAGAUUAGCAACAACAAUAGAGCAGAAACUGUUAUGCAAGCAUUUAAUGAAGCUGUUCAAAAUUAUGGAUUGCCAUGGAGAGUUAGAUCGGAUAAAGGGGGCGAGAACGUUCGUGUUGCAGAAUAUAUGAUAAAUUCCAGAGGUUUUGGAAGAGGCAGCCAUAUUACUGGAAGAAGUGUCCAUAAUCAGAGAAUAGAGAGAUUUUGGAGAGAUUUGUGGAUGGGAUGCAUCAGUUUUUUCUACUACCUUUUUUGCUACAUGGAAGCAGAAAACAUAUUUAUACCAACUGAUGAAAUACAUAUUCAAGCCCUACACUAUAUCUUCAUACCAAGGAUUCAAAAACACUUGAACGAAUUUAGAGAGGCCUUUAUCAGGCGAUCUAUUAGGACAGCUAAUCAGAAAACGCCGUUACAGUUAUGGAUAGAUGGUCAAAUCCUGGAUCCAAAUGAAAAUCUUGCUUCUGAGGCAGACUUUCAAAGUUACGGAACAAUACAAAAUGGUUUGAUGGCAUAUGAUGAUGAACCAGAAAGAGUUGUUAUUGGUCAUUUUCCUAUAUCUUUAACUGAUCAAAAGAUGGAAGAAUUGAUGUGCCAAAUAAAUCCUUUAUUCGAUUCAGAAAAUCAGGGAAUGGACUUGUUUCUUGCAACCGUAAAUUUCAUUUCUAAUUAUCAUGAAAUGAAUUAGGAAAUCAACACUGCUUUUUUUCAAUUAAUAGGUUUUUAUUGGGUAUUUCACCAACAGAGGCCCAGUUCAUGCUACAUACAUUUUCAAUUCAAACCAAAACCAUAAGCACAUACAAUUAUGUUAAUAAAAGCAUUUUCUAGGAAA